rnacentral:RNase_P_RNA from 1 species
UAGGCUGGCCGGGCUAUCGCGGUUACAAAAUCGAGGAAAGUCCGCGCUCCACAGAGCACAAGGCCGGGUAACGCCCGGAACUAGGUAACUGGUUGGAACAGGGCCACAGAGAUGAGAGUGCCGCCCCGGCGGCGAGGGUGAAACGGUAGGGUAAAAGCCUACCAGCGUGUUCGGCAACGGGCACGGCUAGGUAUCCCCCCUUGGGAGCAAGGUCAAGCAGAGGCAAGCUACGGCUCGUAGCGUCUGAGCCUCGGGUAGACUGCUAGAGUGGCGUAGUAAUGCGCCGCCCAGAGAGAUGAUGGCUUAAAACAGAACGCGGCUUACGGGCUGGCCUAGACA